AUUGAACGCUGGCGGCAUGCUUUACACAUGCAAGUCGAACGGUAACAGGCCGCAAGGUGCUGACGAGUGGCGAACGGGUGAGUAAUGCAUCGGAACGUGCCCAGUCGUGGGGGAUAACGCAGCGAAAGCUGCGCUAAUACCGCAUACGAUCUAUGGAUGAAAGCGGGGGACCGUAAGGCCUCGCGCGAUUGGAGCGGCCGAUGUCAGAUUAGGUAGUUGGUGGGGUAAAGGCUCACCAAGCCAACGAUCUGUAGCUGGUCUGAGAGGACGACCAGCCACACUGGGACUGAGACACGGCCCAGACUCCUACGGGAGGCAGCAGUGGGGAAUUUUGGACAAUGGGCGCAAGCCUGAUCCAGCAAUGCCGCGUGCAGGAAGAAGGCCUUCGGGUUGUAAACUUCUUCUAUCUGGGGCGAAAACGACCCUUUCUAGGGUUCUUGACAGUACCAGAGGAAUAAGCACCGGCUAACUCCGUGCCAGCCGCCGCGGUAACAC
rnacentral:rRNA from 1 species